UAGCAUAAUCAUUUGUUUUUUAAUUGAAAACUAGUAUGAAUGGUUAAACAAUGAAAAUUUUCUUUAUUUUUAAAUAAGUAAUUUGUAUUUUAAGUAAAAAUACUUAAAUAUGUAUGAGGGACGAUAAGACCCUAAAAGCUUCAUUUUUAUUUUAUUUAUAUAAAAUUUAUGUGAUAUAAAAAUAUCUAUAAAUAUAAAAAUUAGCUGGGGUAGUUAUUUUAAUAUAAUUAAAAUUUAUUAAUACAUUUAAUAUUAAUGGUGAAAGAUCCUUUAUAUAAGGAAAAUUAGUCAUAGUUACUUUAGGGAUAACAGCGUUAUAUUUUUGGAGAGAUCUUAUCUAUAAAAAUGAUUGCGACCUCGAUGUUGAAUUA
rnacentral:rRNA from 1 species